GUGGGGAAUAUUGCACAAUGGGGGAAACCCUGAUGCAGCGACGCAGCGUGCGGGAUGACGGCCUUCGGGUUGUAAACCGCUUUCAGCAGGGAAGAAGCGAAAGUGACGGUACCUGCAGAAGAAGUACCGGCUAACUACGUGCCAGCAGCCGCGGUAAUACGUAGGGUACGAGCGUUGUCCGGAAUUAUUGGGCGUAAAGAGCUCGUAGGUGGUUGGUCACGUCUGCUGUGGAAACGCAACGCUUAACGUUGCGCGUGCAGUGGGUACGGGCUGACUAGAGUGCAGUAGGGGAGUCUGGAAUUCCUGGUGUAGCGGUGAAAUGCGCAGAUAUCAGGAGGAACACCGGUGGCGAAGGCGGGACUCUGGGCUGUAACUGACACUGAGGAGCGAAAGCAUGGGGAGCGAACAGGAUUAGAAACCCUAGUAGUCC
rnacentral:rRNA from 1 species